AUUGAACGCUGGCGGCGUGCUUUACACAUGCAAGUCGAACGAGUGGCCAACGGGUGAGUACUAUCUCGGAACCUACCUAGUAGUGGGGGAUAACCCAUCGAAAGAUUGGCUAAUACCGCAUAUUAUUCCUGCGGCCGAUAACUGAUUAGCUAGUUGGUGGGGUAAAGGCCUACCAAGGCGACGAUCAGUAGCGGGUCUGAGAGGACGAUCCGCCACACUGGGACUGAGACACGGUCCAGACUCCUACGGGAGGCAGCAGUGGGGAAUUUUGGACAAUGGGGGAAACCCUGAUACAGCCAUGCCGCGUGUGUGAAGAAGGCCUUCGGGUUGUAAAGUACUUUUGUUAGGGAAGCGGUACCUAAAGAAUAAGCACCGGCUAACUACGUGCCAGCAGCCGCGGUAAUUC
rnacentral:rRNA from 1 species